UGCUGCCGACUUUUUGACCCAAGAUUGAGUGAUCCCCACAGGGUAAUCAUAUUAAUCCAAAAGUUAAAAAUGAUCAAAGGGAUUAAUCUAAGGGCAAAAAUGAUCCGAUAGCAUAGUAGCUCUACACACACAUAUACAUAUGGAGUCUGGCUACUAUACUCUUAUGAGUACGAUCGCCUCCGUACUCAUAAGUUGUUUUCGAUGAUAGAGCUUCCGAAUCUACGAUCCAUACCGUUAAACGUUAUCUAGAGCAUUUAAAACUUCUAGAAAUCAAAUUUUAUAAUUUUUCGACAUCAUUUACCUUACGAUCGAAAGCUCACAAAAUUGACAAUUUUUAAAGGCCGGUAUAGGAUAUUUGCUAGUUUAACGGUAUAAAAGAAUUGGAAUAGGUUGAAUUUUUGAUAGAAAAUUCUAUUCACUACCAAGAUAAAGAUCAAUAACUCCGAUCUUAAAUUGAAGGAUCCGAUCAUCCAUGUAUAGGACGUCGUUCGAUUUUGACCGUUCAUUUUAUGCCCGUUUGAUGGACUUUAUUAUGAUUUUGAAAAAUUACGAAAUUUAUUUUUUAGAAGUUUUAAAUGCUCUAGAUCAUAUUUAACGGAGUGGAUUGUCGAUUCGGAAGCCGCAUCAUCGAAGACAACUUAUGAGUACGAAGGGCCCAAUAUUCAUAUAAGAGUAUAGUAGCCCACAUGAUUUCACACUUUCUCACUUUAAACCACCCUAAUUUUUUUUUGUUUUACUAUUUAAUUUUUUAAUUUGUUUAAUUUGAAUUUGUCAUUUUGAUUUCAAAUUUUGAACCUAUUGUUUAUCUUUAUAAGUUUAGUCAGUAUAUUUCAUACAAUUCUCGUAAUUAUAAAUUCAGCAAAAUAAGUAAUUGAUUUAAAUUUUGAAGUCAAAAUAUCGUUGACCGGCUCAAAUCAAACAAUUGAAAGAUUGGACGAUAAAAUCAAAAUUUUUAAAUGUCGAAUUCGAUUCAAAUUAGUUCAUAGUUCAGAUAAAUUCGGUGCAUUUUUUUACAUAUCAAGUAAUACAUAUUUAUGCUAUAUACAUAUUUCUAUGAUCCCACCUAUACCAAACUGGUCCUUAGUGUGGAAUAAAAUGCUAUUUGACAAAAUAUGACUUAAAUAAUAUUUUUAGAAAAAACUUACUGUAAAUCUAUAUAGGUUUCGUUUUCUUUUCCAAGUGCCACCGUAGAAAAUACAUAGUCAUCACCAAUUAUGGUUUCUCUCUUGAAAAUAAAAAGGAAAAAAGAAAUCGUAGAAAACUAAUUUUGAGAGAAAAUUUUUUUUUACAGAAAACAACCUUUUCAUUGUUUUAAUUUUGAGGCAAUUGUUUAUAUACCCCGAAAAGUUUCUGACUUUUAGAUUUACCACUCUUAAAAGUUAUUUUAAAUAUACAUCUAGAGUUAAAUUUUAUUACUGAAUUGUUGGCAAUAACAAUUAUCUCUGUAAAAUAAUAAUUUUACCCUUUCAAAUAUAUCUUUCUAUCAUCACCUUUCUUAAGGACAUGUUUGGUUGUCCGUAAGCGAUCGAAGUGAAAAAAUUACUUUUCAAAAAGUGACUUUUAUAGAAGUCACUUUUGAGUUCCAAGUGUUUAGUUUCAAAAAAGUGAAAGAAAAAAAUACAAUUUUUAUGACUUCUAUUGUUUGGUUCUAUAUAAGAAAAUAAAAAAAUAAAAUAAUUUUUUUUAAAUGCGUAGUUUUUUUUCUCUUUUUUUUCCUUUUUUACAUGGUAUGCAAUAAGGCACGUCUUUUUCUUUUUUUUUUUUUUUAAAAAAGGAUAUGUUGGUUUCUUUUUUGUUAAGAUAUAUACGGUGGUUUUUUUUAUUUUUUUAUUUUUUGUAAAUGGUAUGAAAAAAAGGUUUUUGGAUGCGGUUCAUAAGUCGCGUGGAGUAGACGGCCCACUUUCAACGACUUCGGAAUUUUUUUUGCCGAAAUCAAAAAAAUGAAUUUUAGUUAUAAUCCAUUUCACUGAUUCACUUUUCAAAAGUUACUUACAUAUUUACUUUUAUAAUCCAAACAACCGAAAUAAUCCCACUUCACCAAAAGUCACUGAUUCACUUUUAGUUAUAAUCCACUUCACUGAUUCACUUUACUGAUUCACUUUUCAAAAGUCACUUACAUAUUUACUUUUAUAAUCCAAACAACCGAAAAAAUCCCACUUCACCAAAAUACCAUUUUCAUUGUUUCACUUACGAACAACCAAACAUGCCCUAAGUUAGGGACAAAAAAAGUAUUUUAUUUUUUUAUCUUUUCAAAUAUAUCACUUUACCAUCACCAAUUUUUUUUAUUUGCCCUCAAGUUAAAGACAAAAACAGUAUUGUAUUUUUUUUUUUUAACUCUAGUAAAUAUUUAAAUCACGUUUAAUCCAAGAUAACUUAACGGAGGAUAACUGCGAGAGUAUUUUUGAAUAAGAGAGGAAUAAAUGAGGGGUAUAUUGGAAAAAAAAAAAAAAAAGAAGAUAUUUCUGAAGUUUUGAGGGAUAUAAGCAAUUAUUCCUUUAAUUUUAUAGAUAAAAAAAAUCUAUAGAUAAAAAAAUCAAAAAAGGAAAAAAGAAGAGUUUUUCAACAACCAAAACACCACCGAUUGAUAUUUCACCAGUGGCUUCAGUAUAAGUUGAUGAUGAAUAAUUGUGCAUUUAUUGCAGUGAUGAUCAAAGCACAUCAAAUGAUACAUACAUGCCUAUUAAAACUCAAUUUCCUUUAAUUUUGGCAUUUAAUUUAAGUUCUCAGCAAACAAAUAUACAAGCACUUGUGACCACCAUUUCAUCUUGUAAACCAUCCUAAAUUCAUGAACUUCUUUCUGAAGACAAUAAAUAAUAAAGAACCAAGAAGAGGCCAAGAUGAUACCACGGCGAUGUACGCAAACAACCACAUCGACCUCCCGUGGCGUCGCGAGAGCUGAUUUACGGAUCUUCUUAAAGGGGCAAUCGCCUCGUUUACGUUCUUUGCCUCGCCCUUCUCUUCUUUUUCUUCUAAAGAAUUUACCGUGCAAUGAUUAGAGUUCGUGCUCGCAUCUAUACCGGUUUCGUGUUGUUCGCCAACCGCCGCCGCGAAAUCUUCGGGUUUCGUUUCAUGUGUUGUUUGGUCUUCGGUUGAGUCCUUGUUUUCUGCUGCAUCAUUAGAUACUGCGGCGACCAUUCCAUCUUCCAUUAUGUUUACAUAUGGACUCUUAUCAAUGGAAGAUUCCAAUGAAGAGUGCAAGCCAGGGUGUGGCGUCUGCAUCAAUAUUACGAAAGUUUAGAUUUUUUUGUUGUAAAAGAUGAUCAGCUGAAAAUUGAUAAAUAACUACAAUAUUCGGAAUUUUAUGAUUUAGAAGUUAAGAACAAGUAGAUUCUGUAAGUUACAAAGCAGAUAUGUCACCUUUUUCUGUCCAUGCAUAUAUGGACUGUAGUGUAGAACGGAGAGGAACUCUCGGACAGCUCCAACCCACCUAAAAAUGAUGCCAUUUUCUGAGUUACAAAGAAUAUUUAUGAACAGAGAAAACAAAAGAAGAAAAUUGGAUGCAGAGGUGAAGUUUCGAGCAAAUAACUUGGUGAUGGUAAUGUAAAUAGUUUUACAUUUUUACAUGCAAUCCCAGUGCAGCCAAAACACUUGGUGGGCAUUUUUACAACAGUUGGAGAAUCAGGCAUGCUUAUCAGUGGGUUUGAACUUUUUACGUCCUUACAGUAUAAGAGAUUUAAGAAGUAUUACUUCUUCAUUCCAAGGAACUUAAGUAAUGUUAUUACAAAAUUCCUAGUUAUAGCAAUCACACGUCUUCCGGAUUAUCAAAAUAAAAAACAAAAAAAGAAGAAGAAAAACCGAAGGAAAGAAGGGCAGCCAACUUACCAAAGUCUCUUUGCUGUUAGCCCUUCAAAGAAUGCAAGAUGCCCACCAUGUGCCGUUGUUGCCAAAACAAUGUUUUUGUUGGCUCUAUAGCAACAAAUAAAAAAGUUGAAUAUGGUUAUAAUGUAGAGAGAGAGAGAGAGAGAGAGAGAGAGAGAGAGAGAGAAUAAAAAAUUUAUUCUUACAAGACAUUAAUACUUGAUGCAUAUAUACCUGCAUUCAUCCCAAGGGAUAGCUUCUCUUGUGCAAACUGGAUCAUCCAAAGCACUGAUGCAUAAUAGCGGCACUGAGACAUUCCCAAUAUAGCUGACACUGCUGCACCGGCGGUAAUAUGUAUCUACAGUCUGAGGAAAGAAUGAUGUAUCACUAAACAAUCAACAGGAUCUUCCUAGUUUCUCAUUUUUUUUAAAAAAGAAGACGGCGAUCUUCCUCCCAAAAAACUGAGUAAACAUGUGUAUUUAUGUUUAAUACGGAUUAAACAUUUCAGCUGACCUUUUAAGCCUCCUAAUUUUCAGUUUUAGUUAACAAGAGCCAGAUUUUCAGACAAUGUCAUCUAAGAUCUUGGAACUAAAAAGCAUUAUAGAAUUCCAGUAAAGAAAUUAUCUUUCAGUGAGCUUUACAAUUUGUUGGUUAGAGAUUUGUAUCGGAAUCAAGCAACAUAAAUAGAAUGUAGUGCACUUUUCUAAUACAAAAGAGAGGAUCAUAGUUAUUAACUUUUGGUCAUUUUAAGAAAAGAAUAUAUGUUCCUAUACUGCCUGCAUUUAACAUAGAAAUAAAGGAAAUAUUACUUGGAACUCAAUUUGCCAACAGGUCAAUAGUAGAUAUAUCUUCUUAAAUAGGAAAAAGUUCUUUAAUUUGCCCAACCUUAUUAGCGUCUAAGAUUCGCUCGCUUAGGAAAACCUGGGACCUUUUUUGCUAGAUAUAUAUAUAUAUAUAUAGAGAGAGAGAGAGAGAGAGAGAGAGAGAGAAUUAGGCUACUAUACUAUCUAUAGUACCGGAGCUUCGGUACUAUAGUCUUGUUUUCGAUCUUAGGGUGUUCAAAUUAACGAUCCACACCGUUAAAUAUGAUCUAGGGUAUAAAGUUCUUAGGAAUAAAAUUUUAGUUUUUUUCGACAUCGUUUACUUAGUAAAUAAAUUAUGUCAAAAUGGACGGUGGAAAUUGAAUAAUCUUUAAUAUCCUCUACUUUUAUUUUUAUUUUUAUUUUCCUCAAGGCUCUAUUGCUUCAGUUUGUAGCCCAGUUCAUAAUCUAAAUGAAUGAAGCGGUAGCAUGCUACCUUUCCUCUCAAAAAAAAAAAAAAAAGAAUUCCCAACCUUAUGGCACUGAAAUUAAUUGUACUUUUCAUUUCUGUCAUUCUGCAUAAACCAGAUGUUGUUGUCUGCACUCUAGCCAAUCAGAUUAUAUUGACGAGUAACAGAAACCAAAUGGCAGAGCUUGAGGUCGUACCUCGAAUUUUCCAACUAGGCAAGUGGCAUGGUUGUCAAAGUCCCUUACAGAGCGCGACUGGUAAAAACACAAGAUAAAACUAGAAAAUUAAUUUAUCGUAUGAGCAACCAGACAAAAGAAAGUAAUAAGACUGCGUCGUGAACAGAAAUACCAAUAAUUCAGUGCAUAAAGUUUGAAAACAUGAUGGUUUCAAUACUGCGUAUAUAUAACAAAAAGUAUAUAUUAAGUUGAAAUUGUACAUGAAAGCUUAGGUUUAUCGCUAUAAUAAUCUACAUCCAAUAGUGGGUAAAAAAACAAAAAAAAAUUCUGAAGCUUUAUCUCGAUUUUGAAAUUACUGAAUUUCCCAAUAAAACAAAAUCAAGAAAGACCAACUAGAAGCAGAGAAUAUGAGGCAUACUUUCCUAAUGCCUUCCCAGUUUGCAAGUCGAGACAAGAUAGGCUGAUGUCUGCAAAAGAAAGAAAAAGUAGCUUAGUAGAUAUUAAAGACUAUAUAUGCCAAUUCCGGUAAAAUGCAACUUAAGUGUAGUGGAUGAACAGCAUAGAAACUACAGGGAAUAUAUGAUCGCACAUCAGAUUAAUUAUUUUCCGAGCAGGAAGUUUAAUAGAAACAUACAGCUGAGCGUAACCCUUGAGACCAAUCGUGAGUGCUCUGUCAUAGCACCUUUGCACAAGCUUGCGAGAUAUGAACCUGUCGCAUACCUACAAAGAUAAGCGUGAGACACCAGAAAUUGCAUACCGUUAAGAAUCAGCAACAAAAAUGAUAUUUAUGUUAUUUAAAAGUCAAUUAAUGCAAUUAGUCACAACCUAAAGCAUCAAGGUCAUCAUAUAGUUGAUAAUAUCAGCAAUCAAACUCAAAUAUCAAUGUGGUUGUGAAUACACAUGAAAAAAGGAAAAAAAAGGGAGAGAGAGAGAGAGAGAGAGAGAGAGAGAGAGAGCCCAAAAAUGAAAUACUGCUCUUUGAUGUGUGUUUAUUGACAAGUAAUAAAAAGUGAAAACUCCAUUAUAGUAUUAUUAUACUGAAUAAAAAGACAGUUUAGUUAACUAACCACCAGAUCCCAUGGAGAACAAAUAGAUGCAGCACCAGCAACAGGCGUAUUCUCCCCAUCUUCUCCAAGAUACUUGACCUUAAGAGGCAUUUGGAGAGCAUGUAAUAAACUAUGAAAGACUGCAUUUAUCAUUUAUACUUGACCUUAACAUGCAUAAUUAAAAUGAUAAGAUAAGAGAAUUUAAGAGUGAUAAAACCAUGAAAAUAGUACAUAAUGGAAAAGUAUAACUUUCACUAUAUUCUUAAGAGUAAAAAGACGAGUGUUGUUUCAGCUUGUAACAUUUAUGGAUCACAUUCCACACCCAGGAAGCAAAAAAAAAAUGGAAACCUCGCGGAAGGAAGCAGUAAAUUUUCCAAUUUGACAAACAGAUCCUGACAGCCUAAGGUGGCAACAAUUUCUUCUUUGCAGUGCAUACCAGGAUAUUGGCGCCUAUGCUGGUCCCAACAGCAAAUAGUGGAGCCUUUGGAUGCUCUCGAUGAAGAUAAUUAACAACUUCCCGAACAUCUUCUGUCCAUCCAGCAUUGUAGAAGCAAUCUGACUGUUGAAAAUAGGGUGGUUCUAUAAGAUCAAAAGGCAAGCCAGCAACACAACAAAGAAAUAAAUGGAUUUCGGUGACACAAUAGAGGAGAGACUCCUAAGAAUCACACUAGACUCUAUUCUAUUGAGUACCCAGGAAAGAUUGAGAUAACUGAGGCAUGUAUAAUAUACUCAUUAAGAAAGGAAACAACCUAAUAAGACUUCCCCACGCACAGACAGAAACCAUUUGAAUUAUAGCUUUUUAAUGCUAGUGCAUCAACGAAAAGGACAAAAAUGGUACUUAGAACAGAACUUACCGUAAUGGACAUGCCUGCAAGACCCCUAUGAUUGCUUACAACAACAUUCCAUCCAUGGCUUGCCAUUGAAUAAGCUAGAUGUUUAACAUACUGUGACACACAUCAGAUUAUUAGAUUAUCAUAUAAAAAGCAGCAGCUGGAAGCAAUUCGAUUGAAAAAAUGUAGCAAAUUAAUAUGUGCAAUAAUUCUAGCCAAAAAUUUUUUAAGAGAACUAACAUUUCUACAAACUCUUCAAGUAACUAACCACGUUACCAGGCAUGUAGUUACAUAUUUCAAGAAAAACAAUCAAGUUAUUAGACAUGGAUUUACAUAAAGAAAGUAUAUUAAGCAGCCAGAACUUACAGCAGCAGCAGAAUCACUGGUCAGUCCAGGAAUGAUAACCACAAGAGGAGUUGUAUCAUCUUUAGAAAUGACCUUGGCUGUGCUAGAAAAAUCUCCUGCAACUGAGACAGAAGUGAUGCAAUGAAGUCAGAACAUUUGAUUUGGCACAAAUUCAAGUAUAAUUUCUGACUAUCUGUUAUAAUAGAAAAGCUUCAAUAGAUGCUUCAUGAAAAUCACCCCCAACAACUUUCCACCUGUGGCAACAGAAAACUUUCAAUUUGGAGCUUCUGCUAUUGUUGCCUAGAAGCUCAUUCCAGUUCGGACCGUAUCAAAAGAUUCAGACUAUUUGUUUGCCAAACAAUUGGCUGCUGCUUCUCACAGCGGAGAUGCUGGUCCAGGAGUCAAGCCAAAGAUACACUAAGUCACAAAGUCUAGAUUGACAAUCAGUGGAAAUAAUUCAGGUAACAGAGAAUCUCAAGAACAGGUCAACCAAACACUUAGUGAUAAUAAUUCCUCGGAGAGUGACAAUAGAUGCCAAAGAAAACAAUUUGUUAUAAUGAAGAGCUAUAAUUCUUUCAUAAUUCAUAUUUCAUACUAUGACAGCUAAGGAAUUCCACACUUCACUCCUCUGAAUAUAGUUGGCUGGAUAAGAGCUGUAGGUUUUAAAUUAAAAACAAAAUAGUAACUGUCAACUCAAUAGUUAAAAACUAUGUGGUGUUUUCACAAUUUUAAGAGCUUACCAUCAGAAACAAGCAACCAAUCCAAAGCAAUUGUUCCUCCAUCAUGGACAGUAAAUAAUUGCCUGAAAAUAAGAAUAUAUAUUCAGAAUAGAUUGAGAGUUUCUAUAGAUCCUGCCAUUGAAUUGAAAUACAUAGAAAUCACAACAAAAAAGUUGUUCAGUAAAUGUUUUGAAGGACAUUCUACUUCCUCUGUUCAGUAUUUUAUAGAAUUAUAAGAGCUAUGCUUCGUCCAUUGAAGUAUUGGUUGUGCUUCCAACCUUAACAAGGCAUAUAUGAAAUUUCUCUCUUUCACAUUGUAAUCUGAUAAACAUCAUGUAGUCACUGAAGACACUCUCACAGGUGGUCAGGUAAUCAGAUAUGAGUCUUAUGACUAAGCCAAAUGUGCAUUGAUUCAUAUUACCUAACAAAUGAGCACCAACACAUCCAAACUAAUUACAAUAUAUGUACACAUAUUGUACACAAAACUAUAGCAUUCACAGAGCAGAAAAGCAAAUAUACUGAAUUUAACCGAUAAUAGACUUAAAAAUCUUCUUCCUACCUCCUGUAGGUAAAAGAAGGAGGCCUCCCAAAGAAGUUCAAGAAUGCCGUCUGAAAAUGGGGACUGGCGAGCCACGGCGUGGCCAAAUACCUGCACACAAUUCUCAUCAAUCACCACAAAAACCACCAUAAAACAAUCCAAAAAAACCAAAAUUUUCAAAGAAAAAAGAAUAUGUGAGACAACUAUUUUUCUCCGAACCCUUCAUGUCUUGCCUUGAGAAUAAAAAAAAGUCUUCUUUGCACCAGUUAUUUCCAUGCGGAAAUAACAAUAUCCAGUCAAAAGUCCCCAUCUCGCAAAAGAGUACAAAACCAAAAUUUUUCCUCGACCCCAUUUCAAUAUAAAACAAUUGUAUCGUCCUUAUUAGACCCUCCACCAUGUCGCCAUGGCUCAACAGGAUUAAUUAAUUAGGUACAAAUCUAUGAAAUACAUGUUACAGAGAAAAUUUUCUCUGGAUCGAGAUAUUUUGAUACACCAAAUAUUUGAACUUGGAUAAAAUGAGGGAACAUAAACUAAGCUUAUCCAAAAUACUUGAACUCAUAACCCCUGCUCUGACGAGAUACAAAACAAUCCUUUUUCUCUAAAAGCUUAAACAGACAUAGAUUAUAUUCAACAAAAGCAAUACCAAAACAGCUACAGGAUCGCGAAUCCACCUUCCGUGGAUGCUCCGGCACUUGGAAGCGACCCCCUGGUAGAUCUCGGACGCGGGAUCGAAGGUGAGGGCGACGGGGUCGCCGCGGAGGCCGCGGAGGAGGUCGCGGAGGAGGUGGAUCUCGAGGAACCGGCAGAGGACGACGAGGACGAGGAGGAGCGCGGCGAGGAGGUAGUGCGAGGGCGACGCCGCCGCGGUCGCGCGUAGGAGGAGGGCAGCGGCGGAGGUGCAGGCGGAGGCCUCGUCGGCGAAUGAGGCGACGGGGAUCGCCAUUGAACCACGGGGAUCGGAGAGAUUGGUAGGGUUGGAUUAGGGUUUGGAUGGGAUUUGGGGAUCGACGAGGAGGAGGAGGAGGAGGAGGGCGAGGGGGGCCGAGGGAGGAGACGAAGAGGACGUUGGUUUGGAAAAGGACAAGGCGAUAGUUUCGAGAAAGAGAGAGAAAGAGAGCGAGUGGUGAAUAUAUUCGGUGAACCCGGUGCACCAUGAACCUAACCUUUGUAUUUUUUAAUAUAAAUACAUAAUAUAAAUAUUUUAUUCAAUUUUUAUAAUCCGAAUUUAUAUUUAUAAAUUUUAUUAAUUUAUAUUUUAUAGAAUGAUGUGAAUGUGAUUACAUCUAAAUUAUAUAAAAAAAUAAUACUAUGAUAAUACGAUUGGUUUACAAUUGUAAAAUUUUUUGUCCUUAGUAGGUUAUCCAACAAAUACCCUUUUUUGUAUUUUGUAUGACGUGGAGCAACACUAGCCACAGGAGUAGAUCCCUUUCUGUGGGCCCCACAAUUUUUUUACCCAGAAAAAGUGUUGCCACGUAAGAUGGUCAAAUUUGUUGGUCCCAAUCAGGGUGCAAAAAAAAUUAGAGCCAUUUUGUCAAAAGAGUAGGAGAUCUAAAUUGAGAAAACUCAUACACGUGGACGUUAGUUUUUAAUUAAUUAAUUAUUAUUAUUAUUAUCACGAAGUUACACGUCAGAGUGGGACCCAAUAGCGCUAAUGCGUGAUAUCAUAAUAGAGUAAUUAAUACUUUAGUAUACCUGGUCCACCAUGGACCAACUUCUUUUGCCCAAAUUACGUAGAUGUUAAAUAACAACUUCUAAAAUCAUUUGAUGUGGUAUAUUGUUUGAUAAGUAAUCUCAAUUUUAACACUCUUGAUUUUUGUAACAACACUGUUUGCUUGGAAGUAAAUUAUAAAUGCAGCAAAAAUUAAAAUACAUUUAGUUAAAAAUACAGCAGUUAUAAUUAUAAACAUCUUACUUGGUUAGACGUAACAGCAAUUAUAAAUAUUUUCUUUGAUUAUAUAGGGUUUACAAGUGUAUUUAUAAAAAAUUAUCAUUUUAUAUAUGCAAUGGUAAAAUUAUUCUCUGCGUGGGAAAACAAAAAUUUCUAUUUGACGGGUUAUUAGAGAGGCAACCUUAUUUUUCUUUAAUGUUACUCUCUUCAACUCUGCUGCAUUUGAGUCAUUUCAUGCAGUUCUAAUUUUAGCGGUCGAAUUCAAAUAUAUAAAAUCAAAUAGUAAAUUUGAAUUUGAAUGUGAAUUUAUAUAUAGUUACAACUCCGAUACAGUUACAAACUGUAUAUAACUAAAUGGUCCCUGAUAGUAUUAAUAAUUUUGUGGGCCAUGAACUCGACAUAAACUAUUAAAAGCAGUAGUAGAACUUUCGAAUGUAAUGGGCCGGGCUGGCCGGAGCCGAAAAAAAAACUAGGCCCAGAAUGUAGGAAUAUACUUUUUUAAUUUUAUUGGCCAUUUAUGUAUAUAUUAUAAAUGUUUGUUUCACUCCAUUUUAACUUUUAAUUUCACCAAUAACCAUAUAUUAGUAUAAAAAUUCAUUAUUUUAAUAUAAAGGCUUAUUCCGUUUUUGCGGAUUUUCAUAGUUUUGCAAUAUUUUUAUUGUUUCUUCAAAAAUAUUGUUUAUAUUCAUUUAUUUUACAUUAAUUAUACAAAAACAACAAAAAUAUCUCUAGCGGUAAGAGUUACAUAUUUCUUUAAUUUUUUACCAAUAUAAUAUGAGUUUUUUUUGCAAUUAGCUUCCUGAAAAAAUUUUAUUUUAAAAAUAGUCCCAGCAAAUUUAAAUUUGCAAAAAUAGUCCUGACCCUGCCAUACAGACGCCACGUCAACGCCAUGUGUGCCGGGCUGGCUAGAUAGUUAAGUUAAAUACGGUAAACCAUUCAACGUGUCUGGAGAAAGAGAAGGGAAAGAAAAAAUAUACGUAUUAUGAAAAAAAAUAAGUAUGAAACACGGUGAACCAUUCACCGUGUUUGAACACGGUGAAUGGUAAAACACGGUGAAUAAUUCACUGUGUUCAACUUACCACUCCGUCCAUGUGGCGUUGAUGUAGGGUCUGCGUGGCAAAAUCAAAUUAUUUUUACAAAUUUAAAUUUACUGGGGCUAUUUUUUAAGUAAAUUUUUGUCAAGGGGCUAAUUGCAAAAAAAAGGCCCAUAUAAUAUUAAAAUCCACCAACCAUUAUCAUGGUAUAGCAUAGAUCCAUAAUUUAAAUCGUGACAUUUGCAUAGCAUAUACUAUAAAAGUGUUAUAUUUUGAGAGGUAAAUAUGUAAACACAUGUUGAUUUCAAAUUAAAUUAAAUUAUAUUAUUACGCAUUUCAUGGGAACCAAUUACGUUUUUACAUUUACCAAAAACAAGCAGCCACGUGGCGCACGUAACUUCUAAAACCACGUUUCCCAUUCCAGCCAAUAAUUUAGCGCCACGUAGAUUCGGGGCCCCACCCGCCCCCAAUUCCAACUCUCCCCGCCCCGAAAUUGGCGACUCCGCACUAUGAUGGCAUUUCCGUAAUUAAACCCAUCGCUCGGUGGCAAUUCCGUCAUUUCAGUUAAAGAGCCCCGGAACCAUGACGCUUCCAGAUUCUCUGCCGCGCCGUUGCUCUCCUUCCUCCCACUCGAAUCCUCUCCUCCGCGGCCACAACGUAAUCCCUUAUACUACACCCACACGCCGCUCCAUCAAACGGCUAUCAACACCGAUGACGCCACGCGUCGCUGUUUUAGCGGUUUAUGAUUUUAUUUAAAAUACUCCCGUGGUGUAUUAUACCACGAUGAGGGUGUCGGGUGUACCCCUAGGUAUAAGCAACCUCUCUCCCUCUCUCCCCCUUUCGCUUCGUCUCUUCUCCGACGUUGAUUUCCCUCUUCGCAAUCGAAUUCGAACCCCUCCCCCCUCUCGAGGAGAGGAGAGAAACCCUAGGCUGCGGGGGCCAGUAGAGAUGGAGGAGGAGGCGCUGCUCACGAAGGCGCAGAAGCUGAUCGCGAGGAUCACCGAGGCGCAGGGGAGCCCCAACCCUAGGUUGCUCCACACGCUCGCCUCCAUGCUCGAGGCCCAGGAGGCCAGGUGCGUUCUUUGACCCGCCCUUCCCCCUCCCCUCCUAUCUUUCUCUUCGCGAAAUUGGGGGUUUUAGGGUUUUGAUUCGCCGGGUCUUACUGGGUGGUGAGAAAUGGGCGGGGGUUGUCGUUUUGGGAAUAACUUUUAGGGUUCUUCCUUUCUUUUUAUUGUUAAUGGUUGAUUGAUGAACUCUGAUUUUUGUUUUGUUGGUCUAUUUCCUUGAAUUUGUGCUCUUUUUGUCAUUUUUGUAGCUCGUAAUAAUGCACCGCCAAAUUAGUUGCAAUUAACCAGUAGUUACAAUGAGAGUUUGCUUUCCCUUUUCUUCUAAGUAAAUUGCUUCAUUCGUCUCAGGUUAAUCAUUUCUCCUAUUCUACUGCUAAUGAAACCUUGCAAAGGAGAUAAGUCCUACGAGAUAGUUUCUUUGUGAGAUUAAGAGACUUCAUUCUCAAUGAAAAGCCACAACCUUUGUAACCAAGAGACAUAGGCGAGUUUGUAUUUGAAACUUGAAGCUACAGAGGACUAUCACAAGUUGUAGGCUUCAUUUUGAGGCUGAACAGUCAGGCAAAUUUUAUCUUUAGGAUGUUGUAAUAUUUUCGUGGGAGCAUAUCAAUGUUUAUACAGUGACAACCACUCUUCCAUCAUAGUAACAAGUGAAUGAAUUGACCUUACAAAACGUACCUUACCUUGUGGGGUUUUUGGGGGGGUGGGGGAGUGUAUGGGGGUCAUCACCUUUUUAGAUUGAGUUAUAGUUGGGUUGAUUCAUCUGCCAUUUCUUUUUCUAGGAUAUAGUUUUUUUAUAAUUCCGAUAACGGCAAGGUUGUUGCAUUGAUUCAUUAACCAUUUCUUUUUCUAGGAGAUUUUUUUAAAAAAAUUCUGAUAACAGCAAGGUUGUUGAUUUGACUGAUCAAAAAGGGAGUACCAAGCUUGCUUGAACUUUUGAUAUUUAUAUAUAUUUUUGGAUUAAUCUGGUUAAAUGUUGCAGAAUUUAAUUGUCAAGGACGAAGAACAUAGCUUGAGCUUUUGCAGGGAAAGGGUGAUACAUGUAACACCACUCUUGUUAAUUAGGAGAUUUUUUAAGUGUAGCUAGCAUUGAUAAUCCUUGUUCAAAUUUUCAUUGCUACUUUAAAGCGUGGUUUUUUUUUUACUAUAAAUUGAAAUUAGGGCAUUUUAUUCUAGAAUUUUCUCUCUGGCUCUGUAUGCAUCUGUGUGUUCACGCAUACUUCUUAUCACCUUUAAAUACAUUACCGUAGAAUAUGAGUGAGGCACCUUUCCCUGCCUUACAACACUCUUUAUUCCUUACGUCCUUCCGGUCUUACUUUUGAAAUGUUUUGUUAUGUUUGGUUCUUCUUAUAGGUCAACUGAUCUAACUUUAUGCGUGCAUGAUGGUUCAAGGUUGAGUUCUGUUUGACCCAUUAAGGACAAGUGCUAGAUCUCUCUUUGCCAUUGUGCUUGAUUGUGUUAGAUCCUUGAAUACAGAUAUGUUUGUGCAUUCAAAGUUCUCAGAAGCAAAAGAUGUGGUGCCAAGUUACUGUGUAGCACUACGUGUGAGUACAAAGAUAUCUAGUAAAUGAGGACAAAAGGAAGAAAAAUCACGAAGAAAAAUUAUAAUAAAUAUAUGUGUUGUUGAGCAUUGUGAGUGUCAAAUUUCAUGUAAUUUAUUACAAAAAACUAUUCUCAAUUUGAAAAACAACUAGUAACAAAAUUGUCUAUCAUAUUUAAUGAUAUUUAGUUGUUUGACUAGCUAAUGUAGAGACUAUAGAGUCAGGCUACCUCCUAAUAUAUAACAAGUUAUUAGGUAGCUUGCUCAUUUGCUCAUUUUGUGGUGUCUGAGUAAUAUGCUGAUGUUGUCUAUGUGGUGCAAUGAAGUGACUGUAUCCGCAUAUGCGGGUGCAUAUGCUAGUCCAUGCACCACUUUUUAGAACAGUGUCUACAUGUCCAGUCACUUUGUAACCAAUAUGUAUUGUCCUUGGAGGUUCUAUCUGCCCCGUCUUUUUAAUAUGAGGAUGAAACAUUGAUGUGCAUUCUGCAUAUGUUUUUUGUAUUUGUUGGAAAUGAGUAUUAAAAUAUACCUUUUGAAGCUUGCUUAAAUUUUUGUGUUGACAAUUUUCUCUACAGAUCUGUUAAAUUGAUGGAUCUUCUCCCUUUCUACCUCAUAAUUUUGAAUUUUUAAGAUUCCAAAUUGUAGGAUGAAGUGUUCUUUAUGUAUAGUUAUGACUCAAAGAACUGUUCAUUUACAGAGAGAUGCAAUACACACACAGAAGGAAAAAAAGAGUCAAAUGUUUUAUCAAGAAUGGUAGAUUAAUGAAAAGAUCAAUAUCAACAAUUCAAUGUUCAUUCACUCUUAGAAUAUGAAUAAUAAUGUGUUAUAUCCUCCUCCUCCUCCUCUUCCUCUUCCUCUUCCUCUUCCUCUUCUUGCAAUACACUCACGCACAAAAAAGAAAUUGGGAUAUUACAGAUCAUUAUUCAUAUUCUAUGUUAAUGAGCAUUGAAUGGUUGAUAUUUAUCUUUUCAUUAGUCUAUCAUUUUUUAUAAGAACAUUUGGUAUUCCUUAGGUUACCAUUUGUUGGCAGCCUUUUCUGGAAUUUUGCUUAAUAAAGUUUUUCUUUUUUUGGGAUUGAAAUUUUGCUUAAUAAUGUUAGUACAUUUUGAAUAUUUGUGCUACCUGCCAUUUGGGCUAUAACUAUUUCAUUCUUUCUGUCUUUUGUAGAUAUGUUCGAGAAUCUGGGAAUUCGUCUUUGAAUAAUUCACGGUCUUCUCACGCUAUUGGGAAGAUCGGUAGCUUAGUUCGGGUAUGCAAAUUCUUUUUGUCCUGCAUUAUAUUGCCUGGAUCUAAGUUGAAUAUUGCAAUGAAACACAAUUUUACUUGUUAACUGGUCAGUUGCAUAAUAUUAUUGUAUUUCUUACUUCUUGAAUUAUGCCAUUAUGCACUCAGGAAAACGAUGAUUUUUACGAGUUGAUCUCAUCAAAGUUCUUAUCGGAUAGCAGAUACUCUGUUGGUGUACGUUCUGCUACUGCCAGGCUAUUAAUAAGCUGCUCUUCAGCCUGGAUGGUUUGUAUCAUAUGGAACUUCAAUCUGUUUAAUAACUUUCAAUGGUGCUGAUUAUCUGCCCACCUUUUUGUCCAGUACCCCCUUGUUCUUGAGGAUGCCGUUCUAGACAAUAUAAAAACCUGGGUGACGGAGGAUUCUGUAGUUUCUGGUGAUGAAUGCAAUUGGAAGUAUCUCGGGAGGAAUAAACCAAGCGACUCUGAAAUGUUGAGGACAUACGCUACUGGACUACUUGCUAUAGUUCUAUCUGGGUAUGCAAUUCGAAUAUUCUGCCUCUGUUCCUUUUUCUUCAUUGCCUUUUUAUUACUUUUGUAAUAUAUGUUCUUUUCUUCAGUGGUAGCCAAAUUGUAGAAGAUCUCUUAACAUUGGGUUUGUCAGCUAAGCUUAUGAGAUAUCUGCGAAUGCGAGUCCUUGGAGAGGCAAGUUCUAGCCACAAGGAUGCGAAUUAUCCUACAGAUGGAAAGCAUAAUUUGCUUGCUAAUUCUGUUAGAGGUAGGGAAGAUAACAGGGGAAGAUCCCGUCAGGUUCUGGAAGGUUCUAGAUUGGGUGGCCCAAGGAUAGGAGAAGAAGGUCUUUUGGGUGAUCCAAAUGAAAGCGAGCUGACCAACUCAACUUCAGAAGUUGUUGGUACACUCGAGAAGGAAAAUGCGGACCUAAACAGUGAUGUGAGGCACGAUCAAAGUUUGCAGGAUGGGAAGUCGAAAUACGGAGAGAGACAAGAUGGUGAUGAAAGUUUAGUUUUAGACUCAUCAAGGCGAAGAUUGAAUAGAGGGUGUUCGAGGAUAAGAGGAAAAGGAAGGAAUAGUGAAGUAUAUUUAGAGAAUGAGAGGGCUUUGUCAUCGCCAACUUCUGGGUUACGGUUAGGAGGGCGUGCUUCUCGAGAUAGGGUUGUGGCGAAGAGCGAAGACACCAAGGAGGUGCUUGAUGCAAGAAAGAACUCAAGCAAGGUUGAUUUAGACAGUUUUUCUUUGGGAGAAGAUAAUGAUGAUCGAUUGAGAGAUUGCAGUGUUGGCUCAAAGGAUAUAUCUGAAAUGGUAAAGAAAGCUAUAGAAGCUGCUGAAGGCGAAGCUAGAGCAGCUAAUGCACCUGCUGAAGCUAUCAAAGCGGCGGGUGAUGCUGCAGCUGAGCUUGUUAAGACAACUGCUAUAGAGGUAAGCAAGUUAUGAUAUACUCUGGUCGGCAUUUAACAAGGAGAGUAGAGCCUUGUACCAUUUAGUUAUUGGGUUCAAGCUAUCCUUUCCUUAUUAUUCUGUGUUUUUUUUUUUGUAGGCUUGGAAAAAUACAAAUGAUGAAGAUGCUGCUUUAUUAGCUGCUUCAAAAGCUGCAGCUACUGUUGUUGAUGCUGCUAUGUCAACUGAAGUCUCGCGGUAAUGGCAACACUACAAACAUAUUAUUGUUUCCCAAGCUUCAGUUGUCUCCUUCUCUAUAUUCAUUUGUGUUUCUUUUGCAUUAUUCUUGUAUGCUUUGUUCAGAAGUUCCAAUCGAGUCAAUGAAGAAUUCGUGUACUCAAUAUGCAAUGAGGACACAGAACUAGAAGACUUCAUCAUUCUGGAUGACGAGCCUCUUUCCCAGCUCAGAGAAAAAUAUAGCAUUCAGUGUCUUCAGAGUUUGGGAGAAUAUGUUGAAGCCUUGGGACCGAUUUUGCAUGAAAAAGGUGUCGAUGUCUGCCUAGCCUUGCUACAACGAAGCAUUAAAGAUCAAGAUGAUCAAUUGGAACUACUGCCUGAAGUGCUCAAACUAAUUUGUGCCCUAGCUGCUCAUCGGAAAAUUGCUGCUGUAUUUGUUGAUCGUGGUGGCAUGCAAAAACUUCUCUCUGUCCGUAGAGUUACUCAAACAUUUUUCGGUCUAUCCUCGUGCUUAUUUACUAUUGGUUCUCUUCAGGUAAUACUGAUUCCGCUCACAUGGAAGUUCAUUUUUCUUGUAAUUGAUCACUGAUCAUACGAGUAAUGGCAGGGGGUGGGUUAGGGCAAUACUGCCAUAUUCCUGUGCCUGCCCUGAGAAGGAAAAUUGCUUGUCAUACUUAUUUCAUUAUCCAUUGGGUUGAAAAAUCGCAUUUUCUACCUAGAGAUGGCAAGGGCAGGGUGGGACGAGUAGAUUUCCACAUCCCAGUCACCGCGAAUAUUUCCUGUCUCCUGCUUGUCUGCACUUAAGGAUAAGCCCUCGCUCAUCCACUGGGAUCUCUGCAAAUGCAUAAAUCAUGAAUAGAAAACUAUUUCUAAUUAUCACUUCUACGUCCAAAUUCAUUUAAUAUAAAAGCUUAAUUCCAAUUUCGAUCUUCUUUCAUACAAUAUUUAAAGCUUAUUCAUUACUUAUUAGCAAUAACGGAUGAUUUUGCUAUAAAAGUUGAAAUCAACCACCAUAUAACUAACAAUCUGAUAUAAUAUGUAAUUGGACUAAAAGUUUCGCUAUCAUUUCAUAGUAUUUAGUAACUAUCAUAGGCAUCAACUAUAAAUGAGGUAGGUGGGGUUCGGUGCCAUGCGGGAUGGGUACUUGCAACCAUGUCCAACCCAUCUUUGACAGGAGUUUUCAGCAUUUCCUCCUAGCGGGAGCAGGAGUACUCCCAUCCCUGCGGGGACUUGAGCUUGCAGGGGAAGUAGCCAGCCCUAUUCCACCCUCACUUGAUCAAAUCUAUAUCUAAUGGUUGUAAUUAGAUAUUCAGUAUAUUUAUGUGUAUCCAUCCACAAAAGCCCAAAGUGUGGAGGGUCUCUACUGACCCACCUUCAUUAUCAUCCUAUUCAUAUAAUCAACCAUUCUUUAUUUGUCUGAAGGUUUAUAAUGACUUGUCAAACCAUUCUUGCAGGGUAUCAUGGAACGCGUUUGUGCUCUCCCAUCCGAUGUGGUUCAUCAGGUGGUUGAGUUAGCUCUUCAGCUUCUUGAGUGUUCUCAAGAUCAAGCUCGAAAGAACGCAGCAACCUUUUUCUCUGCUGCAUUUGUCUUCAGAGCAGUAUUGGAUUCCUUUGAUGCACAGGAAGGUCUACAAAAAAUGUUGAGUCUUUUACAAGGUGCUGCAUCUGUUAGAUCAGGUGGUAAUUCAGGCACAUUAGGUACAUCAAAUGUCAAUCUAAGAAAUGAUCGAUCUCCUGUUGAAGUUUUGACUGCCUCAGAAAAGCAGAUCGCUUAUCAUACUUGUGUUGCACUACGGCAAUAUUUCAGAGCCCAACUCCUUUUGCUUUUGGAUUCUCUUCGUCCAAAUAAAGGAGGCCGUAGUGUUGCCCGGAAUACUUCGAGUUCAAGAGCUGCAUAUAAACCUUUGGAUAUUAGCAGCGAGGCUAUGGAUGCAGUGUUCCUUCAGAUGCAGCGUGACAGAAAGCUGGGGCCUGCAUUUGUGAGAGCGCGUUGGCCUGCAGUAGAUAAGUUCUUGGCAUAUAAUGGCCACAUAACUAUGUUGGAAUUGUGUCAGGUACUAACAUCGAUUUUGCUAAACCGCAGCAAAAUUGUGAAUAUCAGAAUUUCACAAUCCAAUCAACAAAAUAAGCAAAAAGACUAAUAUAGCCUAAGGACACUUUGUAAAAUAUUGAGUGAGAAAGAUGUUUGUUUGAGUAUUGCUGUAUGGCAAAGUGAAAAUUUUGUUAUCUAUAUAGGGGUUUCUGCAUUUCAGAUUCAUUAUUGUUAUUACUAUCAUUAUUAUUUUAUCACUUCUUAUGUUUUCUUGUACAACCUAUUCAAUGGUUAGUGAACUACUGGAGUCUCACCUAGGCUUUGGUUUUUGCAGGCGCCACCUAUUGAACGCUAUUUGCAUGACUUGGCCCAAUAUGCACUUGGCGUACUUCAUAUUGUAACACUCAUACCAUACAGCCGUAAAUCAAUAGUAAAUGCUACACUAAGCAACGAUCGUGUGGGCAUGGCAGUCAUUCUGGAUUCAGCCAACGCCACUGGUUAUGCUGAUCCUGAGGUUUAAUAUGGUUUCUCAUAUUUUAGUGUGUUAAUUUACUGAGUCCACCUUUGUUUUUAUGGAUUUUAAACAUAUUUUGUAAUGCCUUUUUAUGCACUUUUAUCAGAUAAUCCAUCCGGCUUUAAAUGUGUUGGUCAAUCUUGUGUGCCCUCCUCCUUCCAUCAGUAAUAAGCCGUCUGUUCCCUCACAAGGUCAUCAACCUGGUUCAGUUCAAACACUGAAUGGGCCUUCUUCAGAGAAUAGAGAGAGAAAUUCUGAAAGAAAUAUAUCAGUACAGAAUGAGAGUCGGGAGCUUGAUAGAAGUGCAGCAAACCCUGCCACCAACCAAGGAAAUACUUCACAAGUAGCUCCAGGAGUAGUAGUUGGGGAUCGGAGAAUAUCUUUAGGGCAGGGAGCUGGGUGUGCUGGCCUUGCUGCACAAUUGGAACAGGGAUAUCGUCAGGCAAGGGAAGCUGUUAGGGCCAACAAUGGUAUAAAGGUUCUGUUGCAUCUUCUUCAUCCUCGCAUGAUCACACCGCCUGGCGCUCUUGACUGCAUUAGGGCUCUUGCUUGCCGUGUCCUUUUGGGCCUAGCUAGAGAUGAUACGAUUGCACAUAUACUAACAAAGCUUCAGGUAUGUUCUUUUUUGGAUGAUAAGAGUUGUUAUCAGGUCGUGUAGGGUCUAGGUACCACUGCUUGGUGCUGGACCUACUAGGUUUAUUUGGCGUGAUGUUGACCUAGACCCUGUGUGCUUAUUUUUGAGUGAGUAUUAGUCUGCGUGUGGGUUGGGUCCGAAAAUGUAAGACAUGGAUGACGGCUUAGGUUUGGGUCCAAAAACAGUGGUAAGAUUAAUGAAAUAAAUAACCAAAUAUGUCUUGGAAUCAAAUUGUUGGAGCGUAAACAAAAGCUCACCAAGUAAUUUUACUUUCUUCCUUUCAAUUGGAGUUAAGAUAAGUGCAAAUCGUAAUUCUACUAUUAUAUUUAUUACAGGUUGGGAAAAAGCUUUCUGAGCUUAUUCGAGACUCAGGCAGUCAGGCAUCUGGAAAUGAGCAGGGUAGGUGGCAGGCUGAGCUGGCCCAAGUUGCAAUUGAGUUGAUUGCGGUAAGAGAUGUAACAAAUUUUAUGUAGCUAUCUAGAAGUAUAUGUUGUAUGUCUUAGGUGUGUAUUUAUGUUCUUUUGCAGCGUGCUUUCUUACUUACCAGUUUUAUCGUUUUUCUUAGCUUUCCUUUCCAAAUAAUUAACUCGUCAUUUUUCCUUUUGGGUUUAUUGACGUGAUAGAUAUUAACAAACUCUGGGAGGGCUAGCACUUUGGCAGCCACCGAUGCUGCUGCUCCUACACUAAGGCGCAUUGAGAGAGCGGCAAUAGCUGCUGCUACACCCAUUUCGUACCACUCGAGGUCCAGCAUCUUCUUUCAUUUUAGGGUUCUUUCAACACUGUCCCUUCACUUAGUUCUCAUAUUAUACACUUGGUAAUUGAUCUGCAGGGAGUUGUUACAACUGAUUCACGAACAUCUCCAAGCAUCCGGCUUAACAGCUGCUGCUUCGGCGCUACAGAAAGAAGCUGAAUUGACCCCUUUGACCCCAUUGGGAGUAACCCCUCCCCUCCACCAGAUCUCUAUCCAAGAAACCCCAUCUAUGCCACUCCAGUGGCCUUCUUACCGCACCUCCUGUGGGUUUCUUCAAGAUACUGCGAAGGUAACCUCACGGGAUGAGGACAGUGUUAUAAAAUGCGAUCCAGUUUCAGCUUCAUCAAAGAAGAAGCCGCUAAUCUUCUCGUCUAACUUGUCACUAAAGAAAAAUCAUGGCUUAAAAAGUCCCUCGGCACCUUCAGAAAGUCUUUCUCUUUCUAUUCCUAAUUCUAGUGCUGAUCUGGACCCUCCCCUGAAGACCCCAAUACUGUUGCCGAUGAAGCGCAAGUUAACAGAAUUGAAGGAUCCUGUUUCUUCCUCGCCAGCAAAGCGGAUCGCAACAGCGGAUCUUGCAUCUCAGUCCCCAUUUUGUCAAACUCCAAAACCAAAGGAUAUUUCAUUGCAGUCGCCUUCAGCAUUUUACACCCCACGGGAUAAUGCUAUCGGCCGGACUAUUUUCAACAACCUUCCUGGGGACAACUCGGGGGAUGAUAUUCAAUAUGCCUCUGGAAAUGCCGAGAGGAUGACCCUCGAUUCCUUGGUCGUGCAGUACCUGAAGCACCAGCACCGCCAAUGCCCAGCUCCAAUUACCACUCUUCCCCCGCUCUCUCUCCUCCACCCUCAUGUCUGCCCCGAGUCAAGCCUCAGGCUAAAUGCGCCUGCAAAUGUCACCGCCCGUGUAGGCACCCGCGAAUUUAGGAAACAGUACGGUGGGAUCCACUCACAUCGGAGGGACCGACAGUUUAUUUAUAGCAGGUUCAGGCCUUGCCGGACUUGUAGAGAUGAUGUAACACUCUUAACAUGCAUUACUUUUCUUGGUGACUCCUCACGUAUUGCAACUGGAAGCCACUCUGGGGAGCUGAAAAUAUUUGACACUAUUACCGGGAAUGUCCUGGAGAGCCAGCCGUGCCAUCAAACUCACGUUACGAUGGUCGAAUCUGCUUUUUCUGGUGGGACUCAACUGGUUCUCUCCUCAGGUGCUUAUGAGGUGAAGCUAUGGGAUGCUUUUAAUAUCUCAAAUGGGCCUUUGCAUUCAUUUGAAGGAUGCAAAACUGCACAGUUUAGCCACUCUGGGAGUGUAUUUGCAGCCCUUUCUGCGGACAACUCUAGGAAAGAGGUUCUGUUGUAUGAUGUUCAGACUUGCAAUUUGGAUUUGCGGCUUCCUGAUAACUUGAAUAGUCAUUCAAGCUCAGGUCGAGGACAAAAUCAGUCCCUGAUACAUUUCAGCCCUUUGGACACUAUGGUGCUGUGGAAUGGUGUUUUGUGGGACCGGCGUAGCGCCAGUGCCAUUCAUCGGUUCGACCAGUUUACGGACUACGGCGGAGGUGGCUUUCAUCCUGCCGGAAAUGAGGUACCAGCUAUCCUAUUAAUUGUCUUCCAUCUGUUGUUUGUUAUGCAUGCUUGGCCUAGGCUUGUUUGUUGUUGGGUUUGGAUCCGUUGGAGUUUGAUUUUGGUUGGAUAACUAGAGAUUUAAUUUA
rnacentral:lncRNA from 1 species